rnacentral:rRNA from 1 species
AUUGAACGCUAGCGGCAGGCCUAACACAUGCAAGUCGAACGAGUGGCGGACGGGUGAGUAAUGUCUGGGAAACUGCCUGAUGGAGGGGGAUAACUCCUGGAAACGGUAGCUAAUACCGCAUACCAUCACAUGUGCCCAGAUGGGAUUAUCUUGUUGGUGGGGUAACGGCUCACCAAGGCGACGAUCCCUAGCUGGUCUGAGAGGAUGACCACCCACCCUGCGACUGCGACAUGGGACAGGCUCCAGCGACAGGGAGCUUGGUGGAAUAUUACACAGUGGGCUAAAGUCUGAUGAAGCCAUGCCGCGUGUAUGAAGGAGGCCGUCCGGUUGUAAAGGUCUGUCAGCGGAGUGGCGUUACCCGCAGAGGAAGCUCCUGCUAACUCCGUGCCAGCAGCCGCGGUAAUAC